AACGAACGUUAGCGGCGCGCUUAACUCAUGCAAGUCGAGCGAGAAAGGGCUUCGGCCCCGGUAAAGCGGCGCACGGGUGAGUAACACGUAGGUAAUCUGCCCUCAGGUGGUGGAUAACUUUCCGAAAGGAAGGCUAAUACAGCAUGAGACCACGGUUCCGAAAGGGACAGGGGUCAAAGCCGGCCAAUUCAUGAAAGCUGGUGCCAGAGGAUGAGCCUGCGGCCCAUCAGCUAGUUGGUAGGGUAAUGGCCUACCAAGGCGAAGACGGGUAGCUGGUCUAAGCGAAUGAUCAGCCACCCUGGAACUGAGGCACGGUCCAGACUCCUACGGGAGGCAGCAGUGGGGAAUCUUGCGCAAUGGGCGAAAGCCUGACGCAGCGACGCCGCGUGAGUGAUGAAGGCCCUCGGGUUGUAAAGCUCUGUGGAGGGGGACGAAUAAGGGUUGGCUAAUAUCCAACUUGAUGACGGUACCCCUUUAGCAAGCACCGGCUAACUCUGUGCCAGCCGCCGCCGUAAAAC
rnacentral:rRNA from 1 species